rnacentral:rRNA from 1 species
UACGAAGGUCCCAAGCGUUGUUCGGAAUCACUGGGCGUAAAGGGCGCGUAGGCGGCGUGGUAAGUCAGAUGUGAAAUCCCGGGGCUCAACCCCGGAACUGCAUCCGAUACUGCCAUGCUAGAGGAUUGGAGAGGUAGCUGGAAUUCUUGGUGUAGCAGUGAAAUGCGUAGAGAUCGGGAGGAACAUCAGUGGCGAAGGCGGCCAUCUGGGACAACACUGACGCUGAAGCACGAAAGCGUGGGGAGCAAACAGG